GUCUCCGUGGCGCAAUAGGCUAGCGCGUCUGACUGUUAAUCAGGAGGUUGGAAGUUUCGAGCCUUCCCGGGGAGG
rnacentral:tRNA from 1 species